AGUGAACGCUGGCGGUAGGCCUAACACAUGCAAGUCGAACGGCAGCACAGUAAGAGCUUGCUCUUACGGGUGGCGAGUGGCGGACGGGUGAGGAAUACAUCGGAAUCUACUUUUUCGUGGGGGAUAACGUAGGGAAACUUACGCUAAUACAGCAUACGACCUACGGGUGAAAGCAGGGGAUCUUCGGACCUUGCGCGAUUGAAUGAGCCGAUGUCGGAUUAGCUAGUUGGCGGGGUAAAGGCCCACCAAGGCGACGAUCCGUAGCUGGUCUGAGAGGAGGAUCGGCCACACGGGAACGGAGACACGGUCCAGACUCCUACGGGAGGCAGCAGUGGGGAAUAUUGGACAAUGGUGGCGAGCCUGAUCCAGCCAUACCGCGUGUGUGAAGAAGGCGUUCGGGUUGUAAAGCCCUUUUGUUGGGUAAGAAAAGCAGCAGGUUAAUACCCCGCUGUUCUGACGGUACCCAAAGAAUAAGCACCGGCUAACUUCGUG
rnacentral:rRNA from 1 species